rnacentral:lncRNA from 1 species
CUUUGAGUGCAGGAUCCCUUUGCUUAAGUCCUUAACCCCAUCACAGUUCCCUCUUAGCAUCAUACAUCACCAACCAUGGCAUACAAGGUUUCCAUGGUCCUCUCAGUUCUUCUUUUGUCUCUUGUUCUCUCAGCCGAUGCUCUUGGUUUGUUCCUCUCUCUCUUUGUCUAUCUCUAUCUCCCUCGCACAGACACAUGCACGCGCG